rnacentral:rRNA from 2 species
CAGCCGCCGCGGUAAAACCAGCACCUCAAGUUGUCAGGAUGAUUAUUGGGCCUAAAGCAUCCGUAGCCGGCUCUGUUAGUUUUCGGUUAAAUCUGUACGCUUAACGUACAGGCUGCCGGGAAUACUGCAGAGCUAGGGAGUGGGAGAGGUAGACGGUACUCGGUAGGAAGGGGUAAAAUCCUUUGAUCUAUUGAUGACCACCUGUGGCGAAGGCGGUCUACCAGAACACGUCCGACGGUGAGGGAUGAAAGCUGGGGGAGCAAACCGGAUUAGAUACCCGGGUAGUCCCAGCUGUAAACUAUGCAAACUCAGUGAUGCAUUGGCUUGUGGCCAAUGCAGUGCUGCAGGGAAGCCGUUAAGUUUGCCGCCUGGGAAGUACGUACGCAAGUAUGAAACUUAAAGGAAUUGGCGGGGGAGCAC